CCUACGGGUGGCAGCAGUGGGGAAUAUUGGACAAUGGGCGAAAGCCUGAUCCAGCCAUGCCGCGUGUGUGAAGAAGGCCUUCGGGUUGUAAAGCACUUUCAGUGGGGAAGAAAGCCUUGGGGCUAAUACCCUCGAGGAAGGACAUCACCCACAGAAGAAGCACCGGCUAACUCCGUGCCAGCAGCCGCGGUAAUACGGAGGGUGCGAGCGUUAAUCGGAAUUACUGGGCGUAAAGCGCGCGUAGGCGGUCUGAUAAGCCGGUUGUGAAAGCCCCGGGCUCAACCUGGGAACGGCAUCCGGAACUGUCAGGCUAGAGGGCAGGAGAGGAAGGUAGAAUUCCCGGUGUAGCGGUGAAAUGCGUAGAGAUCGGGAGGAAUACCAGUGGCGAAGGCGGUCUUCUGGACUGACACUGACGCUGAGGUGCGAAAGCGUGGGUAGCAAACAGGAUUAGAUACCCCAGUAGUC
rnacentral:rRNA from 1 species